CAGCCAAAAUUUUCAGGGAGCUGAACUUUACUCUGGUCUAUAGAGCUGUAGUCUUAAGAGAAUUUGCUAACAGAGAAAAUCUCUAUUUCUGUCUUAUAGAUUAGAGUAACUAAAAGCCCUAACUUUCUGGAGGGAAGAUACAAGUAUUUUUUUAGGAGUUCCCAGUACCAGAAACCACUUGCAAGAUCAUGUAGAGAGUCUGAGAUGAAGAGGAGAAAAAGAAAAAAAUUAUUUGAAGAAAUAAUGGCUGGAAACUUCAUAAAUUUGGCAAAAGACAAAAACCCGCUGAGUUAAUAAGCCCAGCAAACUCCGAACAGGAUAAAUCCAAAGAAAUGACUGCCCAGAGACAGCAUAAAGAGCUUGCAAACUAAAUGCAAAGAAAAAAAAUUGAAAGCAGCCAGAGGAAAAAAAUGAAUUACUUACAGGAAACAACAAUUAGUUGACUGUGCAUUGUUCACCAGAAAUCAUGAAGGCCAAGGGCUAAGA
rnacentral:lncRNA from 1 species